UACAGAGGGUGCAAGCGUUAAUCGGAAUUACUGGGCGUAAAGCGCAUGUAGGUGGUUACAUAAGUUUGAUGUGAAAUCCCCGGGCUUAACCUGGGAAUGGCAUUUGGGACUGCAAGGCUGGAGUUUGGCAGAGGAGACUGGAAUUCCCGGUGUAGCAGUGAAAUGCGUAGAUAUCAGGAGGAACACCGGCGGUGUAGACGGCUUGCUAGACCACCCCUGACGCUGAGGCACGAAAGCGUGGGUAGCAAACAGG
rnacentral:rRNA from 1 species